UAGAGAAUUUGUUCGGAAUGCCUU
rnacentral:siRNA from 1 species